UGCUGCUCCUUCACCAGAGUUUUCCCGUCUCACUCCAGGAGAGCUGGGGUUGGGAGACACUGGCGGACGGGGGGAACUGCCACCCAGGACAUGGUGGACAUGAAACCUUCUGCGAUACGUCCACACCAACCUCCACGCUGCCAAGAAGGAGGACUACUUCGUCUUUCACCUACUGGACGGAACAAAUCGGUCCCCCUCUCAGCACUUCCACAUUUUAGUCAAAGACCUGGAGAAAGGAAACAUUGCCCUCUUGAUAAAACCUCUGAACAUGAGCCGGGGAGACCGAGUCGUCCUCACCACAGACGUUCCUCCUGGCUACCGACGGGCAGCGAUAAAGCCGAGGAGCUGCUGUACAUCAUCACCAGCCCGCCGGUCCACGGCUACAUCGAGUACAUCAAACACCCCGGACUGUCCAUCUCCUCCUUCAGCCAGAUGGACGUCGCAGCAAACGUCAUCGCUUACGUUCACGACAAACCAGGCCAGCGCGGCCAGGGAGAGCUUCCAGUUUGUGGUCAGUAACGGGAAAACCAGCCGGAAGGAACCUUCAGCAUCAUGGUGGAAAUGGUGGACCGCGUUCUGCCCUCUCUAUCCACCAACAAAGGCCUCACCAUCCCCCAAGGCUCGGCUAUGAUUCUGGGCGAUGACUGCCUCCACCUGUCUGACACCGACACCCCGCCGGCGACCUCACCUUCGUCGUCCUGCAGCCGCCGCAGUACGGCGAGCUCUUCCUAGCCGGCGAGACGCUGGGCGCCGGCUCGAACUUCACCCAGGAGGACAUCAUGGACCUGGAGAUCAUGUACAAACACGAUGGGGGGCCGUCUCAAAUAGACCGG
rnacentral:lncRNA from 1 species